rnacentral:lncRNA from 10 species
AAGUGCUCCAAUUGUCCACUUGCAGAUUCUACAAAAAGAGAGUUUCAAAACUCCUCAAUCAAAAGAAAGGUUUAACUCUGUGAGAUGAAAGCACACAUCACAAAGAAGUUUCUCAGAUUGCUUCUGUGUAGGUUUUAUGUGAAGAUAUUUCCUUUUCUACCAUAGGCCGCAUAGCGCUCCAAAUGUCCACUUGCAGAUUCUACAAAAAGAGAGUUUCCAAACUGCUCAAUCAAAAGAAAGUUUCAACUCUGUGAGAUGAACGCACACAUCACCAAGAAGUUUCU